AUUGAACGCUGGCGGCAUGCCUUACACAUGCAAGUCGAACGGUAACGGGCCUUCGGGCGCCGACGAGUGGCGAACGGGUGAGUAAUGCAUCGGAACGUACCUUUCAGUGGGGGAUAACGUAGCGAAAGUUACGCUAAUACCGCAUAUUCUGUGAGCAGGAAAGCAGGGGAUCGCAAGACCUUGCGCUGAUUGAGCGGCCGAUGUCAGAUUAGCUAGUUGGUGAGGUAAAGGCUCACCAAGGCGACGAUCUGUAGCGGGUCUGAGAGGAUGAUCCGGCACAGUGGAACUGAGACACGGUCCAGACUCCUACGGGGGGCAGCAGUGGGGAAUUUUGGACAAUGGGGGCAACCCUGAUCCAGCCAUGCCGCGUGAGUGAAGAAGGCCUUCGGGUUGUAAAGCUCUUUCGGCCGGGAAGAAAUCGUAUGGGCUAAUACCCUGUGCGGAUGACGGUACCGGCAUAAGAAGCACCGGCUAACUACGUGCCAGCAGCCGCCGUAAAAC
rnacentral:rRNA from 1 species